rnacentral:rRNA from 1 species
UGGGAACCUUCCCUAUGGUUCGGAAUAGCUCAGGGAAACUUGGGGUAAUACCGAAUAAGCCCUUCGGGGAAAGAUUUAUCGCCAUUGGAUGGGCCCGCAUCGGAUUAGCUAGUUGGUGGGGUAACGGCCUACCAAGGCGACGAUCCGUAGCUGGUCUGAGAGGAUGAUCAGCCACACUGGGACUGAGACACGGCCCAGACUCCUACGGGAGGCAG